AGAGUUUGAUCCUGGCUCAGAUUGAACGCUGGCGGCAGGCUUAACACAUGCAAGUCGAGCGGAAACGAUACCAGCUUGCUGGUAGGCGUCGAGCGGCGGACGGGUGAGUAAUACUUAGGAAUCUACCUAGUAGUGGGGGAUAGCUCGGGGAAACUCGAAUUAAUACCGCAUACGACCUACGGGAGAAAGGGGGCAGUUUACUGCUCUCGCUAUUAGAUGAGCCUAAGUCGGAUUAGCUAGAUGGUGGGGUAAAGGCCUACCAUGGCGACGAUCUGUAGCUGGUCUGAGAGGAUGAUCAGCCACACCGGGACUGAGACACGGCCCGGACUCCUACGGGAGGCAGCAGUGGGGAAUAUUGGACAAUGGGGGAAACCCUGAUCCAGCCAUGCCGCGUGUGUGAAGAAGGCCUUUUGGUUGUAAAGCACUUUAAGCAGUGAAGAAGACUCCUCGGUUAAUACCCGUGGACGAUGACAUUAGCUGCAGAAUAAGCACCGGCUAACUCUGUGCCAGCAGCCGCGGUAAUACAGAGGGUGCAAGCGUUAAUCGGAAUUACUGGGCGUAAAGCGAGCGUAGGUGGCUUGAUAAGUCAGAUGUGAAAUCCCCGGGCUUAACCUGGGAACUGCAUCUGAAACUGUUAGGCUAGAGUAGGUGAGAGGAAGGUAGAAUUCCAGGUGUAGCGGUGAAAUGCGUAGAGAUCUGGAGGAAUACCGAUGGCGAAGGCAGCCUUCUGGCAUCAUACUGACACUGAGGCUCGAAAGCGUGGGUAGCAAACAGGAUUAGAUACCCUGGUAGUCCACGCCGUAAACGAUGUCUACUAGUCGCUGGGUCCCUUGAGGACUUAGUGACGCAGCUAACGCAAUAAGUAGACCGCCUGGGGAGUACGGCCGCAAGGUUAAAACUCAAAUGAAUUGACGGGGGCCCGCACAAGCGGUGGAGCAUGUGGUUUAAUUCGAUGCAACGCGAAGAACCUUACCUGGUCUUGACAUAUCUAGAAUCCUGCAGAGAUGCGGGAGUGCCUUCGGGAAUUAGAAUACAGGUGCUGCAUGGCUGUCGUCAGCUCGUGUCGUGAGAUGUUGGGUUAAGUCCCGCAACGAGCGCAACCCUUGUCCUUAGUUACCAGCGGGUUAAGCCGGGAACUCUAAGGAUACUGCCAGUGACGAACUGGAGGAAGGCGGGGACGACGUCAAGUCAUCAUGGCCCUUACGACCAGGGCUACACACGUGCUACAAUGGUAGGUACAGAGGGCAGCUACACAGCGAUGUGAUGCGAAUCUCAAAAAGCCUAUCGUAGUCCAGAUUGGAGUCUGCAACUCGACUCCAUGAAGUAGGAAUCGCUAGUAAUCGCGGAUCAGAAUGCCGCGGUGAAUACGUUCCCGGGCCUUGCACACACCGCCCGU
rnacentral:rRNA from 1 species